AGGGAACCAUGGAUCAUCAUCACAGUUGGCACUCAAGAUAUCAUUGAGAACUCCAGAGAUUGGCCUAUGGAUUGUUCCUGGUGGUCCCUAGAAGCGUGUGCCAGUUAUGCAGGUGGAGAGAAGGUACUCCAGAGGAAGGAGCUUGAGAGAGGAAGCCUGCUGAGCUGAUCAUAAUUAAGUUCCUUGAUGAUGGCCUGGACAAUGAGAACGUUGAACCCUGAGCGGUUCCCUCACUUGCCCACGAACCUGCAGCUCGAGGGACUGCAAAGCCUGAUUCAAACCUGAAAGGCCUGUCUCUGCAGCCAGC